UUAUAACCGGAAUGGAAACCCCAGAGAAAGGGUCUUCCCCUUUUAAAGGGGGGGGGAAGGGGGGUAAUACAGGUGAAACCCUCUUUCAAGGGGGGGGAUACCUUGGAAACGGGGUUUUAACCGGGAUAAAAAUUUGGUUGCCCAGAACCAAAGUUAAAAGGCGUUUUGGGUUCACCUAGAGAUGGUUCCCGCGGUCCUUAAUUAAUUGGUGGGUAAAGGCCUACCAAGACAAUGAUGCAAGGCGGAGUGGAGGACUGAUCGGCCCCAAUGGGAAUGAGACCGGGCCCAAAUUCCUACGGGAGGCUGCAGUAGGGAUCUUCCACAAUGGGCGAAAGCCUGAUGGAGCAACGCCGGGGUGUUGAUGAAGGCUUUCGGGUUGUAAAGCACUGUUGUAUGGGAAGAACAGCUUGAAUUGGAAAUGAUUUUAGUUUGACGGUACCAUACCAGAAAGGGACGGCUAAAUACGUGCCAGCAGCCGCGGUAAUACGUAUGUCCCGAGCGUUAUCCGGAUUUAUUGGGCGUAAAGCGAGCGCAGACGGUUUAUUAAGUCUGAUGUGAAAGCCCGGAGCUCAACUCCGGAAUGGCAUUGGAAACUGGUUAACUUGAGUGCAGUAGAGGUAAGUGGAACUCCAUGUGUAGCGGUGGAAUGCGUAGAUAUAUGGAAGAACACCAGUGGCGAAGGCGGCUUACUGGACUGCAACUGACGUUGAGGCUCGAAAGUGUGGGUAGCAAACAGGAUUAGAUACCCUGGUAGUCCACACCGUAAACGAUGAACACUAGGUGUUAGGAGGUUUCCGCCUCUUAGUGCCGAAGCUAACGCAUUAAGUGUUCCGCCUGGGGAGUACGACCGCAAGGUUGAAACUCAAAGGAAUUGACGGGGACCCGCACAAGCGGUGGAGCAUGUGGUUUAAUUCGAAGCAACGCGAAGAACCUUACCAGGUCUUGACAUCCUUUGAAGCUUUUAGAGAUAGAAGUGUUCUCUUCGGAGACAAAGUGACAGGUGGUGCAUGGUCGUCGUCAGCUCGUGUCGUGAGAUGUUGGGUUAAGUCCCGCAACGAGCGCAACCCUUAUUGUUAGUUGCCAGCAUUCAGAUGGGCACUCUAGCGAGACUGCCGGUGACAAACCGGAGGAAGGCGGGGACGACGUCAGAUCAUCAUGCCCCUUAUGACCUGGGCUACACACGUGCUACAAUGGCGUAUACAACGAGUUGCCAGCCCGCGAGGGUGAGCUAAUCUCUUAAAGUACGUCUCAGUUCGGAUUGUAGUCUGCAACUCGACUACAUGAAGUCGGAAUCGCUAGUAAUCGCGGAUCAGCACGCCGCGGUGAAUACGUUCCCGGGUCUUGUACACACCGCCCGUCACACCAUGGGAGUUUGUAAUGCCCAAAGCCGGUGGCCUAACCUUUUAGGAAGGAGCCGUCUAAGGCAGGACAGAUGACUGGGGUGAAGUCGUAACAAGAGCAUGCUU
rnacentral:rRNA from 1 species